AUAACUACCCUGGACGGUGGAUCACUUGGCUCGCGGGUCGAUGAAGAACGCAGUUAACUGCGCGUCAUAGUGUGAACUGCAGGACACAUUUGAACAUCGACAUUUCGAACGCACAUUGCGGUCCGUGGAGACACAUCCAGGACCACUCCUGUCUGAGGGCCGGCCGUAUAUAACAAAAGGCCACAUUGCGAACGCGCUCGCGCUCUCCCGUGCGCGUGUGCCGUUCGACAAUUGACGGCGUCGACGCGUUUCUCUCGGCCUUCUCGUCUCCUCCAAGCGAAGAGAUGUAUUAGGUAGAGAUUGUUUUACGUGUCGUCCGUUUAAAUAUAUUAUUCGUACGAAUCUCGAUUACGCCGCGCGCACACAAACGUCGCGCGCGUCGUCUUCGUAUUCGCGUCUCGGCAGAGAUCCGACUCCACGUAAGGGAGUUCGGUGUCGUAGUCGAAACGACGGAUCGAUGAUACGACGGGUGCGAUGUGCGCGGCGCGAUCUUGAAAUUUUCGUAACGAUAUAUCCGCCGUAGGCGGACUCGACGUCGAAGCGCGCGCGUCGUCGCGCGGACGGAUAUCGAGUCUGCCUCGCACCAUAUCGUCGGCCUCAGAUCAGGAGGAUCACCCGCCGAAUUUAAGCAUAUUAGUAAGCGGAGGAAAAACUAACCAGGAUUUCCUUAGUAGCGGCGAGCGAACAGGAAAGAGCCCAGCGCCGAAUCGCGCGAUCGUAACGGUCGCGCGACAUGUGGUGUUCGGGAGGUUCCGCUUUCUCGUCGUCGGGUCUCCUGUCCAAGUUCGUCUUGAACGGGGCCGCUUUCCCGUAGAGGGUGCCAGGCCCGUAGAGACGGAGCGCGGCGGCGAGGGACUCUCCUCAGAGUCGGGUUGCUUGAGUGCAGCCCUAAGCGGGUGGUAAACUCCAUCUAAGGCUAAAUAUCACCGCGAGACCGAUAGCGAACAAGUACCGUGAGGAAAGUUGAAAAGAACUUUGAAGAGAGAGUUCAAGAGUACGUGAAACCGUUCAGGGUAAACCUGCGAAACUCGAAUGAACGAACGGAGAGAUUCAACGUUCGUUUCCGUGCUGCGUGCGUACGGUCGUCCCGGACGUCCGUCGAUCUCGGUCUUUCGGGGCCGUGUCGGCGGGCGCGGAUCGUGCGUAUCGUCGCCGGGGACGUGCACUCUCUCUCAGUAAGGCAUCGCGACCCGUUCGAGGUCGGUCUGAGCGCCGUUCGGGAGCCCGGCGACCUUAACUCGGUCGUCGGACCGCGACGGUGGCCGACCGGCCUUCCAAUCGGACGGUAUGAAUACGAAACGCGCACGCGCUUAGGCGCGUCAGGCCCGACGCGAGGCGUCGUCGCGUUCGAGGUUCCGCCCGAGUGCGGACCUCGACGCUGCGCGCCUGCAUCGAUACGGCCGCCGUGUAGUCUCUGACCGUGCGCGUAUCCGUCUGCGAUGAUUCGGUUUCGGGCACUCGCAGGACCCGUCUUGAAACACGGACCAAGGAGUCUAGCAUGUGUGCGAGUCGUUGAGA